rnacentral:rRNA from 1 species
UACGGAGGAUGCAAGCGUUAUCCGGAUUCAUUGGGUUUAAAGGGUGCGUAGGCGCGCUAUUAAGUCAGUGGUGAAAUCCUGCAGCUUAACUGCAGAACUGCCGUUGAUACUGAUAGUCUUGAGUUUGGUUAAGGUAGGCGGAAUGUGUAAUGUAGCGGUGAAAUGCUUAGAUAUUACACAGAACACCAAUUGCGUAGGCAGCUUACUGAGCCGACACUGACGCUGAGGCACGAAAGCGUGGGGAUCAAACA